AGUGAACGCUGGCGGUAGGCCUAACACAUGCAAGUCGAACGGCAGCACAGUAAGAGCUUGCUCUUACGGGUGGCGAGUGGCGGACGGGUGAGGAAUACAUCGGAAUCUACUUUUUCGUGGGGGAUAACGUAGGGAAACUUACGCUAAUACCGCAUACGACCUACGGGUGAAAGCAGGGGAUCUUCGGACCUUGCGCGAUUGAAUUAGCCGAUGUCGGAUUAGCUAGUUGGCGGGGUAAAGGCCCACCAAGGCGACGAUCCGUAGCUGGUCUGAGAGGAUGAUCAGCCACACUGGAACUGAGACACGGUCCAGACUCCUACGGGAGGCAGCAGUGGGGAAUAUUGGACAAUGGGCGCAAGCCUGAUCCAGCCAUACCGCGUGGGUGAAGAAGGCCUUCGGGUCGUAAAGCCCUUUUGUUGGGAAAGAAAAGCAGCAGGUUAAUACCCCGCUGUUCUGACGGUACCCAAAGAAUAAGCACCGGCUAACUUCGUG
rnacentral:rRNA from 1 species